rnacentral:rRNA from 1 species
CUGCAUGAAGUCGGAAUUGCUAGUAAUCGUAGGUCAGCAUACUACGGUGAAUACGUUCCCGGGCCUUGUACACACCGCCCGUCAAACCAUGAGAGUUGGCAACACCCGAAGUCGGUAGUCUAACCGCAAGGAGGACGCCGCCGAAGGUGGGGUCGAUGAUUAGGGUUAAGUCGUAACAAGGUACC